rnacentral:misc_RNA from 1 species
UACAAAGUCGCCGAGUUGAAGUCUUGCGUUUUGUUGAGUUUUUCGUCCAACUGUUCAAGUGCAAUAAAUAACACAGUGGUAAUGCGGAAUAGCUAAUGAAUAAUAGAAAGACUACGAUUUAAAGAGCGAUAAAUACGGCAAAGGGAUACGUGCAGACAAACGGCCAAGCAGAAGUCAACGAUCGAGGGAUUCAGGACGAGGACGCGAGUUAAGGAAGCUAAGGAAGUUAAAGGACUCGCAUCCGGAAUCCUUCAGCGUCCAGCCUCCAAUUCAAACAUCCUCCACAACCUCAACAACAUCCUCCACAUCCUCCAGUAAUCACCAGCAACAGUCAAUCGGACUCGCGAGCUAAAUGUCCAGUUGCCGCUAUCGUUCCAUACGGACGGCGUGUCACUCCCGACAAAUGCGUAUUGUGGUUGACCUUGUUUAAUAUAAUUAUGGCCGAGCGGUCGUUACAAAAGUAUCAGAAAUUGGAUACAGUGACGGUUGGAAGCGGCUCAGGAAGUAGUGCAAGCAGAGCAUCAACAGGACUCCUUAGGCGGGGGGCACUUGGGUCGAAAGGGAGCCCAUCGCUUAGCUGAUAGAAUGGGUGGCCCGAAAAAAGAGGAAAACCCACCAGGUGGUGGUCCGACGUCAUUGUUUAUUCUAACCGAGGAUAACCCAAUUAGAAAGUACACACGAUUCAUCAUAGAAUGGCCGCCCUUUGAAUACGCUGUGUUAUUGACAAUCAUAGCCAACUGUGUUGUGUUGGCACUAGAGGAGCACUUGCCAGGGGGCGACAAGACAGUAUUGGCUCAAAAAUUGGAAAAAACGGAGGCCUAUUUUUUAUGCAUUUUCUGUGUAGAAGCGUCGCUCAAGAUCCUCGCCUUAGGGCUUGUUCUGCAUAAACACUCCUAUCUCAGGAAUAUUUGGAACAUCAUGGAUUUUUUCGUUGUAGUUACGGGAUUCAUGACACAGUACCCACAAAUAGGGCCCGAGGUAGACCUAAGAACACUUAGAGCCAUUCGUGUGCUACGGCCCUUAAAAUUAGUGUCUGGAAUUCCUAGUUUACAAGUAGUUUUAAAAUCUAUAAUCAAGGCGAUGGCACCUUUACUGCAAAUCGGUCUCUUGGUGUUGUUUGCAAUCGUAAUUUUUGCAAUCAUUGGACUCGAGUUUUAUUCGGGCGCACUGCAUAAGACUUGUUAUAGCUUAGAAGAUCCAAACAAACUAGUGAAGGAGGGCGAAUCAGAGACGCCUUGCAACACGGACAACAUCCUGGAAAAGGCCGCCGGCUCCUUCGUAUGCAACAACACCACGAGCAUGUGUCUGGAGAAGUGGGAGGGACCAAAUUCAGGUAUCACGAGUUUCGAUAACAUCGGAUUUGCCAUGUUGACCGUAUUCCAAUGCAUCACCAUGGAGGGCUGGACGGCAAUACUGUAUUGGACCAACGACGCAUUAGGUUCAGGAUGGAAUUGGAUAUAUUUCGUGCCUCUUAUAGUUAUAGGCUCAUUUUUUAUGCUCAACUUAGUUCUUGGUGUCCUUAGUGGUGAAUUCGCAAAAGAACGAGAAAAAGUAGAAAAUAGACAAGAGUUUCUUAAACUUAGAAGGCAGCAGCAACUAGAAAGAGAGUUGAACGGCUAUGUUGAAUGGAUUUGUAAAGCUGAGGAGGUAAUCCUGGCCGAGGAGCGAACAACCGAAGAGGAGAAAAUGCACAUAAUGGAGGCUCGAAGACGAAAUGCUGCCAAGCGGAAAAAGCUGAAAAGCUUGGGAAAAUCCAAGUCCACAGAUACAGAGGAAGAGGAAGCGGAGGAAGAUUACGGAGACGAUGGUUACCUCAAAACGCGCUCGAAACCCCAAGGAAGUUGUACUGGAUUCUGGCGGGCGGAGAAGAGGUUUCGUUUCUGGAUCCGGCACACGGUGAAGACGCAGUGGUUCUACUGGUUCGUCAUCGUCCUCGUCUUUCUGAACACCGUCUGUGUUGCCGUCGAGCAUUACGGCCAGCCCUCGUUCCUCACGGAGUUUCUGUACUAUGCUGAAUUCAUCUUCCUGGGACUGUUCAUGUCGGAGAUGUUCAUCAAGAUGUACGCGUUGGGGCCCCGCAUCUACUUUGAGUCGUCGUUCAACCGAUUUGAUUGCGUUGUCAUUAGUGGUUCGAUAUUCGAAGUGAUCUGGUCCGAGGUGAAAGGCGGUUCGUUUGGUCUGUCUGUGCUGCGUGCCCUGCGAUUGCUGCGCAUCUUCAAAGUCACCAAGUACUGGUCGUCGCUGCGCAAUCUAGUCAUCUCACUGUUGAACUCGAUGAGAUCGAUCAUCUCAUUGUUGUUCCUGCUCUUCUUGUUCAUCCUUAUAUUCGCCUUACUGGGCAUGCAGUUGUUUGGCGGCCAGUUCAAUCUGCCCGGAGGCACGCCCGAAACGAAUUUUAACACUUUCCCGAUAGCACUGUUGACUGUAUUCCAAAUCCUCACUGGCGAAGAUUGGAACGAGGUCAUGUACCAGGGCAUCAUUUCUCAGGGUGGUGCGCAGAAAGGAAUGAUUUACUCUAUGUAAGUUUAAGUUUUGUUGUAUUCCGUGUACCCAUCAUUCUAUCAUGUGCAUUGUAUGUAUGCCAGUCGAAAACUAAAAACAAACAAGUACAUGUAUAUGUAAAGGUAAAUGUAGUUAACGCACUAUGGAAAACCUUUUGAUCUCGAUCAAAAACGUUAGGAUUAUGAUUCUAUUUGCCGCCCCUCUAUCCCUAAAAGUCAAUAAUCGACAUGAUAGCGCUAGAUAAUGUUAAUGAUACUUCCAACCAAGCGAGCAUAUUCGCAAUUCAUUGAACGUCGAACCAUUAAUGUGUGCAAUCGACCUCAGACUUACAGGCUUGAAGAAUUUUACUCAGCAAAAAUUCUGCAAGCGCAAGUUAACAAAAAUACAAAAAAAAAACCAAACCGCCAAUCAAGCCACCCACUAACUAUAUCAUUCAUCGUGAAUACCCAUUAAUCCGAAUGCAACAGAAAAACAGAAAGAAUGAAUUUCUCAAAACCAAACGUAGUUGCCUCUCAGUUUUCAAACAGCCCCCACAAAAUGCCGUACAAUUAAUUCCCGAUUACGUUUUUUUAAGAAUUUCCCAGCACACGUUGACGUAUCUUUUGAGUUUCAUAUCAUCGAGGAGGUUCCUCUCCUGAGCUAAUGCCCCAAAAAUAGAUUGAUACAAUUGAGUGUGUUCAACUCUGAUUGUUUUUUGUGUGUUCUUGAUGCU